GCUACGUGGUAAAAAGAACAAAUUAGGAUUUUUUAGACAACGCUCAUAAGGGAUUUGACUCUUUUAGGAUUCUUCUUCUUCCUUAAACUCCAUCUGUCCAAUUUCUCUUCUUCUCCAUUCUUUAUUUUCUGCAAUUGUCUAUUCAUUUCAAUGAAUUGAAAAGAAAUUAUUCUAAACCCAUCCCCAAAUUAGAAAACCUAAAUCUUAAAAUUCUCUUUCGAUGGAAGCAAUGUCGUACUCUCAAUCUAAUUCGGCUCAAGGCCAACUUUUAAUUCCUAAAUGUGGGUGUAAGGAAACCAGCUAUUUUAUAAGUAUUAAUGACAUUUAUAAAUCCUGACAGCUUUUUUGGAUGUGGCAGAUUUGGGGUGAGCUUGUUCAUUGCUUAUUUAGAGUUUUAAUAUUUUAAAACAAUUGUAUUUAUGAUAUAACUAAGAUAUAUGAUAUAACUUUUAAGGAGGGCAUGUGUUAGUCAUUCUUGAUCAGUUGAGACGUGUGUUGGUUCGAUUAUUGAAUAAAGUGAAGGAAGCUAAAAAAUGAGAAGAACAAAGCUGUUGUUAAAGCAAAAAAGUUACACUGGGCAUUUAGUGUUGUUGUGGUGGUGUUUAUUGCAUGGAUAAUCUGUAGGGUUUAAUUGCAAUGUGAUUAUGAACACUUUAACAAAAUGAAUCAGGAAUAUUAAUGAUUAUGUUAUCAAAAGUAUUGAGCAGGAUUGAGGUGCCUUUGGUUAGUUUUUGGUGGUGCUUGUGGAAAUGUAAUCAAUUUACUUUGAAAUGAAAAAUGUAUUGUUGUUUAAACUUGAUUGAGGUGGUUGUGGAUAAUAUGAUUGUUUAAUGUGUCUAAUGAUAUGAGGUACUUGCUUGUUUCAGGGAAGCAAUUUGCAAUAUGCAGAUAAUAACAAAUAGGAGUGAGGUUAACUAAAACAGUAAUCUGCAUUAAGAUUGGCUCAUAAAAAGACUCCAUGAAAAAAAUUGUAAUCAAUUAAACAUAAUUUAGGCAGAUUGUUCAUAUCUUGAGUCUUCUUAAAACAACACAAGUGUAGUCAAGUUACAAAUAUGAAAUUCUUAAAAAAGAGCAAAUAUGUCUAUAUUUGGUUGGCCUGUUGGCUCCAGUAGGUUGAUUGAGACUGCUUUGGAUGUUUCUUAGUGGCAAUAAAGGAUUUAGUUGGCUCAAAGUUAUAUCAGCAGCUGACUGUGCUUGCGUUCUCCUUUGCAUUUCAAUGCUUGAUCUCUGCUCUUGCAACUGUCUAGUGGUGAUUGCCUCUAAAUUUCAAACCAUGUGGUUGAUACCUUAAAUUACCUAUUACUUUAGAUGAAAUUUUCAGUUGUGGAUAAUGAAUUACUUUGCUAGUUGGUUGGCCAUACUGUAAUAUACAAUAGAAUAGUAAUUAACAAUACUUGACAGAUAAACUGUCAGCUCUAAUAACACAUUUAACAAAUUAAUUCAAGAAAUUGAGCACUUACAUCUUGAAUAGGAGCUCCUGUGUGCUCAUUGAUGUAAACACCAUAGCCACUAAAUUUGGCUUUUUUAUGAGAAAUUAACUGCUAUUAAGUUUGAUAUCUUUUAGGUUCUUGUGUGCUUGAACUAGUUACAUCACUUGCCUUUGCAUUUGCAAGACCCCUACCCCUGCCAACAGCUCCCCUACCCAAACCAACAACAUUUCUAGUUCCCCUGCCUCUGCUAGCAGCAUUGGCAGCUCCUCUGCGCCUCCCAACUGCAUUAGCUCCUCUACCCCUCCCAAUUGCAUUAGCACCUCCUCUAUCACUCCCAACAGCGAUGUUACUUCCCUUUCCUUCCCCAAAAUUACUUGAAUUACCACUUGAACUUCCAAAACAAAAAUUUUCACUUUCACCAACAUCAUCUUCACAAAAUAAUUUAAAAUCAGAAGUCCUGAACCAGGUGAGACCUUUCUACAGAGGCAGGUGGGAAGGGAUCCACCGCGAAAGAUCUUAGUACCCAACGAAACUCAUUUAAGGAUGUCUCGGAGUUUCUUAAGUAUGGUUAUUGUCCUGAAACCUCAAUGAAGAUGGAAGGAGAUUCACUGCAGACUUCAACAUGGUCUCAAUGGAUACAGGCUCUUGCUCCUUUUUUCUCAUUCUUGUCUGUGGUUCUUUAUCACUUUUAGAUAUUCAAAUGAUUUUAUUCAUUUUCUCAAAGGAUGUUUCGCUCCCCAAUUCAGUCCUUAACAUAGCCAGGACCGAGUUUCUGAACAAACAGUGGAUGUUAUCUAAGGCACGAUAAGACAUUAUUGUGGCUUUAUCGAUGAAAGAAAAGCCCUACCAAUAAGACUUCUUCGGCAAAGUGAAGCAAGCUCAAAAAGGUGAUCAAAUAAGGAAAUCUACUAUGAAGGACAACCUAAGUUUUGCAAGUGUAAAGAUAGAGGAGUGAAAGUGAAAGCUCCCAGAUGGACUUCCUAGACCGAUGAAAAUCUAGGGAGGAGAUUUUUCGGAUGCCUUAAUUAUAAGGUGAAAGUGUAAAUAAUUGACUAAUUUGUUUUUAUAUGUUUGAAAUUCGAUGUUAAUGGAAUUUGCUUUUGGGUAAUGGAAAAUUAUAGGUUAAAAGCUGUAGUUUGUUUGAGUGGUAUAAUGAAGCAUUAAGUGGGAGGGUGAAAGAAGUCAUAAAUGAUAUGAAAAUGGAGAAAAAUGUGUUAAUAGCUAAAAACAUGAGGCUGAAGGUAAUUGGAAAAGGUGUGGCACCGGAAGAUGUGAGGAUGGAAAUUGCAGACUUAUGGAGGGAAUUAAAGAGCUUGAAGAAACAUAGUUUGUUAAAGUGUGAAAAUCUGAGGAAAAAGUUGAAAAUAGCAUAUCUAAUUACUAUUUGUUCUUGGUUGGUUUUUGAGCUAUUUUUGUAUUGGUGUAAGAAUUUGAUAGAAUUGUAUUAGUGAGUGAAGGUGAAUUAAGUAAUGAAAAUAUGUGUCUCAUUAUAAUUA